CAAGGGUUAAGUGCUACAUAUGUCGUGUGAUUGGAGAUCCUCAGCUGAGUAUUAAUCGAUUCGGAUCGCCGUUACUUCUCGGACAUGAAGACUUGGUCACUGACUUACACGUAGCAUUCCAGUGAACUUAAAGGGUUGAUAAAAGAUGGCUAGUGCAGGUCAAGUGAUUGAACUAGGGUAGAAAGAACUCUAGAUGCAGGUAAUUUUACUUAACCUGACAAGUAAAAAUGGAUUUUUAAGGAUCCACUCAUAGUAAGCUUUUCUGCAAAACAGAGUCUUCGAUUUUUGAUAAGCCAUACCUUGAUUCCCUCUAGCCAUCAUACCCUUGAGAGUCUUUUUGUUAGUCGGGUAAGUCUUGCUGAGUAAUUCCGUACUCUGGGUUUUAUUCCCUGUUGUUUUUCAGGUUAUAGUUUUGUGCUGCUGAUGAUGGUGUUAAGUGUCGGUGGGCUCGACCUUCUUAUAAGUCUAAGUAACCCUUCUAUACUUCUUAUUGAGGAUGGUCACUUGAGCUAGCAUAUAUUUCAAACUUACAAAUAAUUUAUAACAUUUCAAAGUUAUUCCUUUGAACCACUUUUGUAACCACUCCGAUAAAUACAAUGUAAACUUGUUGUAACUUGUAAAAUUUGGUAAUAAAAUUCCACCGCAAGAUGUUGGUGUGUGAUUUGUGUUACUUAAUCUUGUGGUCUUGGUUGUAAGUGGUUUAUCCGAGGUCCUUGGGACACUCGGACAGAUCCUGUUAAGUUAUCUGGUGCACAUGCAUAGCCGUCUGAGGUCUUUGAGACAAGGGCAGGUGCAUGUGGGCCCAAUAACUUGGGAGGUUCUGCCAUAGCUGGUAUCGGAGCAGGAUUAAGUUUAUACAGUCACAUACGUAUUUUCAAAACAAAAGUUUUGGUUUCAAAAAAUCUAUUUUCAACUAAACACAUUGUUUGGCUUUGAAAAACAGUUUUGAAAAACUAUAAUGCUAGCGACAUCCUCUAUUAAGCCCUAAGUAAAGGACUAUCAGGUGGCUUAGUUCAAAACCACUAACCCACAACCGGGUGGGUAUUGCAUACAUGUGUAUUGUUCUUUUUGAGGCCAUUCAGUUUUGAAUGGAUCGACGCUCAGGUAAGGUGAGAUGUGAGAGCAUGACCGAACAAACGUCGAUCUAAGGAAGGGUAUGAAAAGCGCUUGAUUAUAUACAUGUUUUACAUGUGUAUAUAUGAAGGCUGCGAUGCAGAGUAUUUACUUCUUCUGGGAAUUCAGUACCCCAUGGAUGUGUAUGGGUAUACAAACAUGGGAAUACUAAGAAGUGUAAUGUACUUGCAACGAUGCACCUACGCUCAGGUAAGAAGUUGAGUUACCAUAAUGAGUUGUCCUAUGGUUAAAGUGUGGCAACGGCACCUAUGCGUGGCUCGACGCUUAAUGAUGAGCUGGCCUCCAUAUAGAAAUAUAUGAAGUAUAAACUAUGAUAAACUGUCAUGUGUGAAUUGCAUCAUGGGAAAAAUGGGCUGUGAUGGAAUUUUCUGCAGGUACACUAACCUCGAAAACGUAUGUGUAGCUAACGAAUAGCAAAAUAUCGAGAGAGUCAUAAGUAUGCCACCGAUAUAGAACGCUAUUGCCACAUUAUGUUGGCAAAACUCGUGAGGACGCAUAGGACGAGCAUGCAUCCUGAUUGUUGCAUCAUGUUUGUCACCUAUACAUCCAAACUGCUUCUCUCAUCCUUAUUCCAGUAACCAGUGAUUGUAGAUAAUGUGGUGUAAUGAUGUAUUAUGGACUUCGAUGAAAUAGCUGUCCUCCAUUCUUUAGGUAACCUAUUUAGGUGUUAUAUAUGUGUUUGCUCUGGUGCUUGAUGUACUGAUAGAAGGUUAGUAGUUUAGUUGCUUAAACCCAUAACUAGGCCAUGUUCUUAUUUAGUGAACCAUGACCCAAAUUUGAAUUUUCCGUUAUCCCUCCAUGACUAAACUCGUACAAAUAAAUGCUUAGGUAAAUUCUUUGUUGAACAUAAAGUGUACCCAAGCUUAAAACAAGAAUCUCGAGUCAUGUCUCCAUCCUAAACCAUGUCCUUGUUCGAUUUGUGCAAGUUGAUGUCUCUAUUCCAGUUUGCCUGUUCUUAAGGAUCGUCAUGUUGCUUUGUCAACCCAACUUAGGAAAGACAUGCCCGAUCAUCUUCUUGAAUUUGAUGCCUUUGGUUUCCCCAUACCUAUCAAAGGCAUACCAACUUAAUCCUUGACUUGUAAUUGUUGCGCUGGGCAUAGAAAUAUGCUUGGGGCUGAAGUUACAGUCUCCCAUCGUACUCCCUCACCAACCAGUUUAGGUUAUGGCCAUGCCUUGUUCAUUUCAUCGGGCCAUGAUCUGUUUGGCUCUCUACUGUAACCGUUUUGAUAGCCUUGGAGCUUUUUAGUGUUGGAAAACAACUGAUUAGCUCUCAGAUUGGAGACUGAUUUUCCCUGCUGCUGAUGCAGGAGUUUGUUCAUUCGCUCUCUUAUUUAAUCCAUGUAUUUUCGAACCUAGUCUGUUCAUCUCGCAUGCAGAAACGGAUUAACAACAGAACCAAAUGGAUUUCUACUCAAGUGCAUAAUCUCCUGUUAGCAAAUGUGAACUCUCAACCAUUGGCUUACCGAUGGUACUGAGAGGACAUGCCCAAUGUCAAAAGUAGUUCAACAAGUUGGUUUUGACUAACUUGUAACUGCCCAAUGAAUGAAGAUUGAGUUUAGAGAUCGUUUUAUCGAUUUGCCUAAACUCAUUUUGGUUCAACCCACUUAAGGAAGUACUUUCAAGAAUCGAGAUUAAGUCGGCCAGUAACCACCUAAUGAUCGCUCUAGUCAUGCCUCGAUCGCCUCAUGUGUGCUUUUCCAGCAUGUGUGACCAAGUCAAGUCAUGCUUAGUGCUCGCUAAAGCGGAUUGAUUGUGAAGUCAACAUUUGUUGAUCAUCUUCACUAAUGUGUUCCUCGAAUUUUUAUUAUCUUCUUGGAACUUGAAUUCCUCAAGUGACCACUUGUUGGUAAACCUCCUUCUGUGUGUUUUACCCAAGAUGGUGCAUCUGAUUCUGUUUAGGUAAAAUCACGUAUUUACCGCUCACUCAACAGACUCAGAUAGUACAGUGUUAUCAGAAAAAGCAAACUGCACACAUGGAACCUUAUGUGUUCUUUUGGUAGAUAUCGUCUGGUGGACAUUUCUAAACCAGCUUGUGGUAAUACAUGAUAUGUCCACUAGAGAAACAACAUCCUGAGACACCCUCCUUUGCUUGGAACUGUUUUAUGGUCAUCGCUGAUAUGGACAUGGGUUACAUGCUUCUCUACUCUUAAGAGUCUUUCGCUCCGAAUCUCGAGACGAGAUUCUUUUAAGGGAGGAAGGUUGUAACACCCCAGGUGUUUAUAUUCCACUCGACAACGAGUAUGGAUUUAAGCACGUAAUAGCAGUGGAUAAAAUGGACGCUAAUUUAUAAACAUCUUCGUCUAUCGCGAUUUUAAUAUCGCACCUGUUUCGUCUGUCGCGAGUUCGACAUCGUUUUUAUUUAUCCGGGCUCUUCCCAAAAUUUCGUGAUGUUCGGAACAUCGUUGUUCCGAAAAUCGGUACGUCCGGUGAUUAUUUAAAAUUCAUCACUCGCGCAUAUACGAAUUUGGAAAUUUAGUCCAGCCUGCCGAUUUUCCCCAGAACGAAUUAACUGGAACUCGACGAUAGAAAUGAUGCAAAAUUAAAUCGGACUACACCCGGAAUCUAAGAAAAAUCGAGCGUAGAAUUACAAACUGAGUCGUUUCCUAGUCGACUCCGAUAUCGUUUAGCUUGAUCCGUUAACAUCAGACUAAAACUCGAACCAUGGUAAUUUAAUCUAUUCCUUACCAGAUAAUUUUUUGUCUGACUUCUACGUAAACCAAAGCUGAAUACAAUAUUGAAGUGGAAAUCAAUUCGAUUCAGAUGGUCGUUUCUCGCCGGAUUCAAAACUUCAGACAUAAAUAACUGAUUAAUAUUCAUAUGAUUCCAAAGUAUUCGCCAAAUCAAAACCAUGUCACAGUUACUGUCGACCCAUUUUACAUUGCUAAAAAUCGUGAUUGUAAAAAUAUCUGCGAUUUUUAAGAGAAGAAAAAUGAGAAAAUCUAAAAAUCUCCUCCACACUGCCUUCUCUCUCUCCCCCCAGAUUUUCCCCCUGCCGCUGGCUUAUCUCCAGCACGCGCACGCAGGGAAAAAUCGCGCCGCCCCAUCCUGAUUUUUCCUACAGCGCACGCCGUUCUUAUCUUCUUCACGCACGCAAUCUCUCUGGUGCUUAUUUCUCUGCCGCUCUUCUCUCGUGUUUAUCCCAGCCGGCCAAGCUCCCUAGUGCCUAGCUCCACUGCUCCCAUGGCGUGCGCCGGUGCCAGCUCGAGUCCCUCCCCAGCCGUGUCUCCUCCCCUCCUGACAGCCGCUCUUCUUUCUUCCUUCCCCGGCGUCGGAUCCUAGCUCGUAGAGCUUCCUCUGCGCGGCGCUCCUGUGUCCCGAGCUCCCUCAGCCAUGGCGCGUUCUCCCUGUGCGCCCAGCUGCUUCUCUCCCUCCCUCUACUUCUUCCUCGAUGCGCGCUCAUCUCCAUGCGUGUGCUGCCGCGAGUCCUUCCAUGGCUGCGCGCGAAGCCCUCUGCUCGUCGCGCCCUGGAUCUCCUGGCCACCGCGCCUGCUUCCUCUCUCCCUUCUCGGCCUCUGUUCUGAGCUCGCGCCCAGCUUCCCUGUGCGCGCUUAGCUUGGAGCUCCCACAGCCUAGCUCGGGUCUUUUCCAUGGCCGCGCGCACCUCAAGCUCGGCUCUCUGGUGCCGCGCGCGCGCCUCUGGUUCGCCCCUGCUCGGACUGCGUUCACCCUGCUGCGCGUGUGGAGCUCCUCUGUUGUGUGUACGAAGUUCACUGCUCGCCACUGCACGUCGAGCUCCCGCGCCGAAUCCUUUUCUAGCUCGCCGCGACGCCCGUUGUCCUGCCUGCUUUGCUCACCUGCGUCGGCUACUCGCUGGUGCUCCAACUCGUCAGCUGUCGUUAUCCUAUCCACGCCAGCACGCGACUAUGGUCGUGUUCAUCGUAUUCGCCAACGCUCUGUUGCUGAUUCGACUGUCGUCGCUGGUGAUAGUUUCGCAUGCUAUCGAGCCUGUUGUUUUCCAUGUCCUAUGCUCGCGCGGCUUUAUGCUCGCCAGCGCGCCCUCUCGACUCGCUCGGCCUUAAUCUCCAUCACAUCGUCGACCUCGCCGAUUGUCGUCGUUCGUCGUCGCGUCGCGUGUGCAGCUCUAUAUACAUCACCCUCUUGUAUCGUCGUCGAACCUGUCAUCCCCUGCACGACUCCCAAGCAACCCCCCUGAUCCGCGUCCUGCUCGCUGUCGACUCUCGGCACCACAAGCUCGUUUUCCCUUGUGCACAUCCCCAUAGACCCUGUCUCAUCACGCGUGUGCGUUAUCGAUCUCAUCGUUGUUUCGUGCAUCCUCAAGAAAUACAAAGCGUCGGGUGAAGACGAAGCUAGCCGUGUGAUAUUCACCAAGUGCACGACAAAAAGCUCGAACAAGUCGUCAAUCGUCAUCCUCGUCUACGCCAAUCCCCAAGCCGUGAAGACACUCUUGUGCUGGCCACGCGUCACCAGCUCGACAAAAAGGAAUCCCAUGGGUAUUUGGUCAAGAAUAGAAACUGUGUGCCUCGCUCGCCAGACAUGUGUGAUCAAUGACGUCGACCGGAAACCGUCAUCGUGCUUCCGACUAUCGCGUCGAAUUAGUCAGGGUAAGCAAACUUGUUAUUCGUAUUAGUGGAUUGAUGGAUGGUUUGACUAGGUAUAAUAUUUAUUAGAUUGCCUGAGUCACUUUGGCAAUUUGGUCGAUGUCGUAGGAUGAAAGAGGUCUCAAUAGGUCCAAGUGUUUGCGGGACUGUAGGUGUUAAAAAUGGGAAGUUUCAUUAAUAUAUAUGAUACACAGGUUAACCGGUAAAUUAGUUUAAAAAGUUAAGGAAAGUUCUUCUAUCAAACUUUAUAAGUGUUAGGUGUCCAAGAAUAUUGAAGUUAAAGUUAUAAGUCAUUUAGUGUGCUCUCUAAACUAGGUACGAUAUUCUAUGUGUGCUAGUCGAUUUCAUGAUUUGAAUGGAUGUUGAUUGCUACUUCGAAUAUUUAGGAUCAAGUAACAUCGAUAUAUUGUAGCUAAAAAUGAUAGAGUGUGUUUAUAAUUUAUUAUUUUAUGACUAUUGCGCGUAGUCGUAUAUCGGAUAACUAGUGUUUCCGUAUAAAAUUGUACAACGCCUCACCGCUAGGUGUUAAAUUCGCUAUCGCGUAGCACUAUUUAGGAUUGUAAUGUUCUUGUCUAUAUGCAUUCAUGUGCAUAAUGCAUUUCAUUCAGGUACGUUAAUUAAUCGCGUGAUGCGGAAGACGAGUCAAGUCGACCCCAAGCGCGGACUACUCCGCAUGGUGAUGUUGAUGGACGAACCUGCCUAAUCAAGUGCUAGGACAAGGAUGAUCGUCAAGUGAACAUCGCCUAACAAACACUAACCUAGUGUUAUUCAGGCAAGCCACGAUGCAUUUGCCACCUCCUUGCUGUUUUAAAAUAUUUAUCACCUUGUUUGAUGCAUUAGGUGAUAGGAGUUGUGUGCUAAACCGUUGAUGCAUUUCCUUCCUUGAAAAUUUAUUACCCUUCCUUGACACCCAUUUUGAAAGGAAUUUUAUGAUGCUUAGUUUUGCUUUAGCAAACAAAAAUGUUUUGUUUUAAAACAAAAGUGAUGCUUCAGUGGGUGGGAAGUUUUCAAAAAUAAAACUUGAUGGUGGAUCCAUCACGGCCGUGAUGGGUUCAACAUCGUAAAAGAUAUACCUCUGCCAGGUACCAAACUUUGAGUUUUAAAUAAUAAAGCUGAGACCGGGCGGUUGACUUGCACGAGAAAGGAGUCUCAGUGUAGUGUCUCCGUCUGAGUCGAUUAAGGACGUUGUCGAUGUAGGCCUGCUGACCGAGGACCCUUUAAUUGGUCACAUGCCUCGUCAUGGGUAAACUUUGCCUCGGGCAGACUAAUACCAGAAUAAGAUAACACGCAAUGGGAGUGGAGAGAUGGCGAGAGUAGCGUGUACCCUCCGUGGCAAGAGGCUGGACGAUGGUGUAUCUAUGCUCUCGGUUGGCGUGAACCUGAUCUGGUCUUAAGAACCCCGGUGGCGAGUUGACAUAUGCAAGGGUUAAGUGCUACAUAUGUCGUGUGAUUGGAGAUCCUCAACUGAGUAUUAAUCGAUUCGGAUCACCGUUACUUCUCGGACAUGAAGACUUGGUCACUGACUUACACGUAGCAUUCUAGUGAACUUAAAGGGUUGAUAAAAGACGGCUAGUGCAGGUCAAGUGAUUGAACUAGGGUAGAAAGAACUCUAGUUGCAGGUAAUUUUACUUAACCUGACAAGUAAAAAUGGAUUUUUAAGGAUCCACUCAUAGUAAGCUUUUCUGCAAAACAGAGUCUUUGAUUCUUAAUAAGCCAUACCUUGAAUCCCUUUAGCCAGCAUACCCUUGAGAGUCUUUUCUUUAGUCAGGUAAGUCUUGCUGAGUAAUUCCGUACUCAGGGUUUUAUUCCCUGUUGUUUUUCAUGUUAUAGUUUUGUGUUGCUGAUGAUGGUGUUAAGUGCCGGUGGGCUCGGCCUUCUUAUAAGUCUAAGUAACCCUUCUAUACUUCUUAUUGAGGAUGGUCACUUGAGCUAGCAUAUAUUUCAAACUUACAUAUAAUUUAUAACAUUUCAAAGUUAUUCCUUUGAACCACUUUUGUAACCAGUCCGAUAAAUACAAUGUAAACUUGUUGUAACUUGUAAAAUUUGGUAAUAAAAUUCCGCUGCAAGAUGUUGGUGUGUGAUUUGUG
rnacentral:lncRNA from 1 species